rnacentral:rRNA from 1 species
GAUGAACGCUGGCGGCGUGCCUAAUACAUGCAAGUCGAGCGAACAGAUGAGGAGCUUGCUCCUCUGACGUUAGCGGCGGACGGGUGAGUAACACGUGGAUAACCUACCUAUAAGACUGGGAUAACUUCGGGAAACCGGAGCUAAUACCGGAUAAUAUAUUGAACCGCAUGGUUCAAUAGUGAAAGACGGUUUUGCUGUCACUUAUAGAUGGAUCCGCGCCGCAUUAGCUAGUUGGUAAGGUAACGGCUUACCAAGGCAACGAUGCGUAGCCGACCUGAGAGGGGGAUCGGCCACACUGGAACUGAGACACGGUCCAGACUCCUACGGAAGGCAGCAGUGGGGAAUCUUCCGCAAUGGGCGAAAGCCUGACGGGGCAACGCGGCGUGAGUGAGGAAGGUCUUCGGAUCGUAAAACUCUGUUAUUAGGAAAGAACAAAUGUGUAAGUAACUAUGCACGUCUUGACGGUACCAAAUCAGAAAGCCACGGCUAACUACGU